rnacentral:rRNA from 1 species
ACGCACGCUGGCGGCGUGCUUAACACAUGCCAGUCGCGCGGUAAGGCUCCUUCGGGCGUACACGAGCGGCGAACGGGUGAGUAACACGUGAGUAAUCUGCCCUUCACUUCGGGAUAACCACCGGAAACGGUGGCUAAUACCGAAUACGACCAGUCUUCGCAUGAGGUGCUGGUGGAAAGUCUUUUCGGUGAAGGAUGUGCUCGCGGCCUAUCAGCUUGUUGGUGGGGUAAUGGCCUACCAAGGCUUCGACGGGUAGCCGGCCUGAGAGGGUGACCGGCCACACUGGGACUGAGACACGGCCCAGACUCCUACGGGAGGCAGCAGUGGGGAAUAUUGGACAAUGGGCGAAAGCCUGAUCCAGCAACGCCGCGUGAGGGAUGACGGCCUUCGGGUUGUAAACCUCUUUCAGUACCGACGAAGCGCCCUGUCGGGUGGUGACGGUAGGUACAGAAGAAGGACCGGCCAACUACGUG